GUGACCGAGGGGCGAGAGGCGGGGGUAAUAGGUAGGGACCAGUCGUUGGUCGGAUUUACUGGGCGUAAAGGGCGCGUAGGCGGCGUGACAAGUCACUUGGGAAAUCUCUGAGCUUAACUCAGAACGGCCAAGUGAAACUGUUGUGCUAGAGUGCAGAAGGGGCAAUCGGAAUUCUUGGUGUAGCGGUGAAAUGCGUAGAUAUCAAGAGGAACACCUGAGGUGAAGACGGGUUGCUGGGCUGACACUGACGCUGAGGCGCGAAAGCCAGGGGAGCAAACGGGAUUAGAUACCCCUGUAGUC
rnacentral:rRNA from 1 species